AUUGAACGCUGGCGGCAUGCUUUACACAUGCCAGUCGAACGGUAUCAGGCCGCAAGGUGCUGACGAGUGGCGAACGGGUGAGUAAUGCAUCGGAACGUGCCCAGUCGUGGGGGAUAACUACUCGAAAGAGUAGCUAAUACCGCAUACGAUCUAUGGAUGAAAGCGGGGGACCGUAAGGCCUCGCGCGAUUGGAGCGGCCGAUGUCAGAUUAGGUAGUUGGUGGGGUAAAGGCUCACCAAGCCAACGAUCUGUAGCUGGUCUGAGAGGACGACCAGCCACACUGGGACUGAGACACGGCCCAGACUCCUACGGGAGGCAGCAGUGGGGAAUUUUGGACAAUGGGCGCAAGCCUGAUCCAGCAAUGCCGCGUGCAGGAAGAAGGCCUUCGGGUUGUAAACUGCUUUUGUACGGAACGAAACGGCUCUGGUUAAUACCCGGGGCUAAUGACGGUACCGUAAGAAUAAGCACCGGCUAACUACGUG
rnacentral:rRNA from 1 species